rnacentral:rRNA from 1 species
GCAGCAGCCGCGGGAAUACGAAGGGGGCUAGCGUUGUUCGGAAUUACUGGGCGUAAAGGGCGCGUAGGCGGCCAUUCAAGUUAGAUGUGAAAGCCCUGGGCUCAACCUAGGAAUUGCAUUUGAUACUGUUUGGCUUGAGUUCGGGAGAGGUGAGUGGAAUUCCCAGUGUAGAGGUGAAAUUCGUAGAUAUUGGGAAGAACACCAGUGGCGAAGGCGGCUCACUGGACCGACACUGACGCUGAGGCGCGAAAGCGUGGGGAGCAAACAGGAUUAGAGACCCCCGUAGUCCCUGUCUCUUAUAC